rnacentral:misc_RNA from 1 species
CCAUAUCUAAAAUUGAUAUUAAAUAGCCUAUAAGUAGGCAUUACAAAAUAACCAACUAACCAAUAACUCCUAUAAAAUAGAUAGCAAUUAACUCACUAACAUUCAAGUAAACUAAAUACUAAAAAUUAGGGGAAAAUCACAAAGCAUUAAUCAAGAAUUUUAACAAACAAAAAUAUCUCUAACAAUUAAAAGUUACUAUUAAUACCCUCCCUUAAACUGACAUCUGCAGAAAUCAGUUUAGGAAUUAGUUCUAACAACUCUAGCUAAGCCAGCUCUUGAGCAACUUCCAUUGAAG